rnacentral:misc_RNA from 1 species
GCCACACCAAUGUAAAGAGGAAAGUUAGUUUACCUUUCUAGUGCCAAAAUUCCGAUGAGCAGCACUUACUAAAGAUACCUUUUUAACGGCAAAAUAUCUUUUCGUGUAUCUUAUGUGUGACAAACCUGCCAUCUUGUCUUGUAUUGAUUUGAUGAUCUGCUGGGUAGACACCAAUCAGGUUUUGGGAGAUGAGACUGAUUUUUUAAACAUCUUAUGCUUGUUUCUCUGAUUGGCGGGCCUUAGUUAUGAUAUAUAAUGCAGCAUUAGGAAUUGCAGUUUCUACCUCUCGGUGACCUUGCAUUAAAAGUUAGAUUCUUCUUUUAUGACACCUUUAUGUUUAUGAUUACAGUCUUCAGGUAUCAAGGUAGGAU